rnacentral:lncRNA from 1 species
AUCUGGGACACAUUACCCCACAGGUAUCCUGUUGGACCUCAACGAGGAAGUUGGCAACAGAGGAACCAGGAGAUGAGAGAGAUCGUCAGAUACCUACAGCCGCUGAGAGCCGGUAUUCCAACGCCAUGAGACGCCUUCUGUCGUGAGCAGUUGACAAGAAAGACCCAGCACUUACUGCAACCGGAAGGAGCGGUUCCUCCCUCGCUCGCGCAGCCGCUCUUCCCCGCCACUCCCUCGGUGCCCGCCAGCACAUUCCCAGCAAGCCCUGAGUAUAUUUGCAUAUCAACUCACUACAUUUUUUUCUUCUAACUAAAAAAUCGAAAGGACAAAUUCCAGAUUCUCCUUGUGAAGUCUUCCUUUCAGUUCAGAAGAAAUGGAAUUCGCUCUUCAACUUCAGGAAGUUGAAAUAAAGAGUUGCUUGGAUUUUGUGUUCACCUUUACCAAAAAAUGGAUUUGGUAACACUGCCACCCUGCUUUGGUGACAGAGAAAGCAAAAAGGGCUUCUGUCGUGAGUGGCACACGUAGGGCAACUCGAUUGCUCUGCGUGCGGAAUCGACAUCAAGAGAUUUCGGAAGCAUAAUUUUUUGGUAUUUGGGCAGCUGGUGAUCGUUGGUCCCGGCGCCC